GCCUGGUGCAGUGUUCUAUGCCUGUAGUCCCAGCUAUACUAUUUGGGAGGUUGAGGUAGGAGGUUUGCUUGAGACCAGGAGUUCUGGGCUGUAGUGCUCUAUGCUGAUUGGGUGUCCACAAUAAGUUUGAUAUCAAUAUGGUGACCUCCAGGGAGUGAAGGGCCACCAGAUUUCCUAAGGAGGGAUAAACUGGUCCAGGUUGAACAUGCAACAGGUCAAAACUUGAUAGUGGGAUUGCACCUGUGAAUAUCCACUGCACUACACCCUGGACGGGAUAGCCAGACCCUGUCUCUA
rfam:Callithrix jacchus chromosome 1, whole genome shotgun sequence